CACAUACACACACAUACAUACAACGACAUACAUACAUACAGGCAGGCACACACACACACAGACACACAUACAGACAGACAGGCACACAGACACACACACACAAAAUGUUUAAUUCACCCUCCUGUUUCCUACCUUUUAGGUGCAGGAGGGUGACUUUCCCUGGGGUCCAGUGGUGGCUCAGGUGGAUGGUAGUCAGAGUUUCCACUCUGACUCCCUCUGCUUCCUCCUGUG